CGCUCAUCCGUCGAAGGACGCAUGGUGUGUGGAACAAGCGUACAUAGGCCUACCUGAUCGCGUUCAUUUGUUCGCCUCCCUCCACCUCCCUCUCUCUCCGGUGCAUAUUUAAGCCACUUCUUCAGUGUCCCUGAAAAAACAAUAUGGGUGGUCCCUGGCAGCUGUUUUUGGAGUGCAGCUGAAAGAAAGAAAGAAACAAACAAACCCGGUCAAGAAUUACCAACAUGGCGACGAGGCAGCUUGAUGGACGAAGCGGCAGCUUCUGGUGCUACCGGCCUCAACAUCUCUCUCCUAAGCGCCCUCACUUCACUCCCCAGAUUGUCGUGCUGUUUUCCUUGGGGGGGGGGUGGUGCCUCGUCAUCAGUGUCCACACCUUGAAGCAUAGUAAGUGCCAGUUUAGACAAAAUUUACAAAAUGGGCAGUCAAACAGCCGUUUCUGAAAUAUUUAUAUUUUAAUUUCUAAAAUGUUUCAUUGCUGUUCAGUUUAACUCUAAAGGUCUGCACCUUCAAAAAAGUGUUGCGGCGGGCCCGUAGUGGUCUGGACUCUUCCAGCUGGCUCCUGCAGGGUCUUCAGCCUCUGACUGUAUGUCUGAUGUUAAACACAGUAAGGACUUUUUCAGGUAGUCCUUUGCCUUAACAUAUGUUGCUGAAAGUGAAUGGCAUGCAUUAGUGAAAUUUAGCAAGUUGAAUCUUAUAGAAACGUUUUCAUAUGCAGCAUUUUUCCUUACCACAGCUAACCAAGACCCUCACGUCACCGUGCACGUCCCACGCUGCACCUGGAGGAAGGUGGUGCGCGACUGCCUUCUGGAGGCGGUUAUGAUCGUAAGAACUAGGAGGCCAGAAACAAUUCCAUGACUCCCCUGCCUCCUCCAACCAGCUGCUUGGCACUAUGAAGACAAGGAAUUAGGAUUGGUGAAGAAGAGGGAUGGCAACAUAAUGGUUUUGGUCUGGAAAAAGCACACAUUUUCUGCUGACAUCCCCAAGGAGCUCAACCUCAAGAUCAUCUACCAACGUAUGGACCUGAAAACAGCCUAUUCGAGAGGAGGGGCAGGGAUAUGUGAAAUGGGAUUCCUUGUACUCAAAUCGUCUGUAGAUGAUGAAGACUGAACCAGAGGAUAGCACAAUGUUUUGGACCAGUCCAAUAUCCUGUCCUACUGCUAUGCAGUUGUUCCCGGUCUUUGUUGACAGGCAGAAAUCUGUUGUUACUACCUUUCUGUACUGUUUGGCAGUACUGAAUUGCAGAGGCAAAGGACCAUCCUGGUGCAUUUCGUACAAAAGGGGCUGCUUACUUGGAGGUGGAGUAACAGUUUGAGGCACCUCUGACAGUCUCUUGACUACCUGUUGUAAUGGUAGUUGAGGCUUUCGCAACAUUUUUUUUACUUUUCCAAGGAAGUUUUCAUAAGGAAAUGCAGAGACACGGUCAAGGGCACCAAACUGUUUGUACACAUCAGCUAGAUGUAUCACCUGAUGAACUGUAAAUACAAUUUCUCCUUGACCAUAUAAAUCUCCAAAGCUUUUAACAAAUGCUGUUAGGACUCGAUUGGCAAAAUCAAUCAUGGGUGCAGAGAGGUUGGGGCUGAGUAAUAAGAACACACCCACGGAAAACAACAGGAAGUUCUCAAAAAUCUCUUCUGGUAGAUUGUGCUUUAGGACCACAGGUCCACUGUACAUCAUGAACUGCCUUAGUUCUGUAGCCUUCCAUCUUUCGAUCUCUGUCAGCUCUCGUGGUUUUCGGGCAAAUUCAGAUGGAAUAUGGGGACGGAGAGCAAUCAGUUUAGAUGAUAUAGCUGAGAUGACAUUAGAUGGCUGUCUUAUGGCCAGGUUUUUGCCCUUCAUCCAGAAAAUAAUGAGUUUUUUUGUUACACCCAAACAGCAGAGGUGCAUGUAAUCAAUGGGAAACUGGGUUACCAUCUGAACAAUGCCAGUAAGGGGACUAGGUCGCAGGUGGUGAUCUGUGUCUGACAUUAAAGCAAAGUCUUCGUCUGAUCUAAGCCUGGCAUUUAUUUCAGGAUAUGUCAUUUUAUUUUGC
ensembl:lncRNA